rnacentral:rRNA from 1 species
AUUGAACGCUGGCGGCAUGCCUUACACAUGCAAGUCGAACGGUAACGCGGGGCAACCUGGCGACGAGUGGCGAACGGGUGAGUAAUAUAUCGGAACGUGCCCAGUAGUGGGGGAGUAGCCCGGCGAAAGCCGGAUUAAUACCGCAUGAGACCUGAGGGUGAAAGCGGGGGAGUCGCAAGACCUCGCGCUAUUGGAGCGGCCGAUAUCAGAUUAGGUAGUUGGUGGGGUAAAGGCCUACCAAGCCGACGAUCUGUAGCUGGUCUGAGAGGACGACCAGCCACACUGGGACUGAGACACGGCCCAGACUCCUACGGGAGGCAGCAGUGGGGGAAUUUUGGACAAUGGGCGCAAGCCUGGUCCAGCCAUGCCGCGUGCGGGAAGAAGGCCUC